GUUCCCUGCACUUCACUUAGUAGCUUACAAGUUGCCAUUUACAAGAGGCGCUACGACGAAUAAUAUUCUAAUGGAUUUGUUUGUUUAUUGUAAAAGUCAUUGGUAAUAGAAGAUAUAGGAACGAUGCGCGAGAAAAAAGUUAAGUGGCAAGAAUUAUUUACUAAUAAGAUAAGAAGAACGAGACGAACAAGAUGAGAGAUCGCUGGAGUUUAAGUAAGCGAGCUACAGAAGAAAGACGAGUGGAAGUACGCGCGCUAUUGGCGUGUAGUAUCAUACGGUUGAAGCAGCUAAAAUAACCAUACAAUGUACGAUGAUGCUCAACUCGCAGUAGUUCCGGAUGACCUGAAUCUAACGUUUGUCUGAUUUGAGGAAGAAAAGGAAUGGCCAGAUUAGAUAGAUCGGUUAGAUUCGUGGGAGAAAAAUUGACGUUACACGGUGUACUCGAAGGACAUUGGAAAGAUGAAAUAUGCGAAUCGCUGUCGUCGUUUCGCGACAGGAUGGACGUGUCCUCUCGUUGGAAAGCCAGGACCUUCGAGCGCGCAACGCACGUAUCACUCACACAACCGUGUGUCAGUGAAAAUCGCGUCUCGCAAUUUAACUCGAGAUCACGAAGUCUUGGCGUGUACGCCUGUAAAAAUAUUUCGCACUUUCUUUAGAAGCGAUUAGCACGAAUUAACUUCAAAACUGAGAACACGAGUAAACUCGUCCAUUUAAAUUGACCAAUCCCACGAAUACAAUAAUAUCCUCGCUCGAACAUUUCUUAUAUUUCGUGUUUCUUCGUUUUUCUCAGAGCUAAAUUACAUCGCUAGACUGUGUUUAUGCAGAUAUUUAUGUGUUCAUGGCACGUAUAGAUAUUUCGGAAUAUAAAAACAUUAAGAU